CGACUCUCGACAACGGAUAUCUAGGCUCUCGCAUCGAUGAAGAACGUAGCAAAAUGCGAUACUUGGUGUGAAUUGCAGAAUCCCGUGAAUCAUCGAGUUUUUGAACGCAAGUUGCGCCCAAAGUCAUUAGGCCGAGGGCACGUCUGCCUGGGUGUCAC
rnacentral:rRNA from 10 species